rnacentral:rRNA from 1 species
UACGUAGGGUGCAAGCGUUAAUCGGAAUUACUGGGCGUAAAGCGUGCGCAGGCGGUUUGCUAAGACAGGUGUGAAAUCCCCGGGCUUAACCUGGGAACUGCGCUUGUUACUGGCAAGCUGGAGUGUGGCAGAGGGGGGUGGAAUUCCACGUGUAGCAGUGAAAUGCGUAGGGAUGUGGAGGAACACCGAUGGCGAAGGCAGCCCCCUGGGCUAACACUGACGCUCAUGCACGAAAGCGUGGGGAGCAAACAGG